rnacentral:rRNA from 1 species
UUCGCAAUGCCCGAAAGGGUGACGAAGCGACGCCGCGUGCGGGAAGAAGGCCUUCGGGUUGUAAACCGCUGUCGGGAGUUAGGAAAUGCAAGGAUGUUAAUAGCAUCUUUGCUUGACUAAGGCUCCGGAGGAAGCCACGGCUAACUCUGUGCCAGCAGCCGCGGUAAUACAGAGGCGGCAAGCGUUGUUCGGAAUUAUUGGGCGUAAAGAGCACGUAGGCGGCCGUGUAAGUCGGUUGUGAAAGCCUUCCGCUCAACGGGAGAACGGCAUCCGAUACUGCAUGGCCCGAGUGCGGGAGGGGAGAGUGGAACUUCUGGUGGAGCGGUGAAAUGCGUAGAUAUCAGAAGGGACACCGGCGGCGAAGGCGACUCUCUGGCCCGUAACUGACGCUGUGUGUGCGAAAGCUAGGGGAGCAAACGGGAUUAGAUACCCCGGUAGUCCUAGCCGUAAACGAUGGGCACUAAGUAGAGGGGUUUU